rnacentral:rRNA from 1 species
CGCGGCCUAUCAGCUUGUUGGUGGGGUAAUGGCCUACCAAGGCGACGACGGGUAGCCGGCCUGAGAGGGCGACCGGCCACACUGGGACUGAGACACGGCCCAGACUCCUACGGGAGGCAGCAGUGGGGAAUAUUGCGCAAUGGGCGAAAGCCUGACGCAGCGACGCCGCGUGGGGGAUGACGGCCUUCGGGUUGUAAACCUCUUUCAGCAGGGACGAAGUUGACGUGUACCUGCAGAAGAAGCGCCGGCUAACUACGUGCCAGCAGCCGCGGUAAUACGUAGGGCGCAAGCGUUGUCCGGAAUUAUUGGGCGUAAAGAGCUCGUAGGUGGCUUGUCACGUCGGGUGUGAAAGCUUGGGGCUUAACUCCAGGUCUGCAUUCGAUACGGGCUGGCUAGAGGUAGGUAGGGGAGAACGGAAUUCCUGGUGUAGCGGUGAAAUGCGCAGAUAUCAGGAGGAACACCGGUGGCGAAGGCGGUUCUCUGGGCCUUACCUGACGCUGAGGAGCGAAAGCGUGGGGAGCGAACAGGAUUAGAUACCCUAGUAGUCCACGCUGUAAACGUUGGGCGCUAGGUGUGGGGACCUUCCACGGUUUCCGCGCCGUAGCUAACGCAUUAAGCGCCCCGCCUGGGGAGUACGG